rnacentral:rRNA from 1 species
UACGUAGGGUGCAAGCGUUGUCCGGAAUUAUUGGGCGUAAAGAGUUCGUAGGCGGUCUGUCGCGUCUGCUGUGAAAACCCGGGGCUUAACCCCGGGCCUGCAGUGGGUACGGGCAGACUAGAGUGCGGUAGGGGAGACUGGAAUUCCUGGUGUAGCGGUGAAAUGCGCAGAUAUCAGGAGGAACACCGGUGGCGAAGGCGGGUCUCUGGGCCGUAACUGACGCUGAGGAGCGAAAGCAUGGGGAGCGAACAGG